rnacentral:misc_RNA from 1 species
CAACCCUCAAGCUCUGCUUGGUGUUGGGGCCCUGCGGUUCGCCGCAGGCCCCGAAACAUAGUGGCGGACCCGCUGGAAGUCCGAGCGCAGUAGUUUUCUUCUCGCUCUGGAGGACCCGGUGGUGCCUUGCCGUUAAACCCCCCAUUUUCUAA